AUGAAAGGAGAAACGAUUUAUUAACUGUUUCAAAUUAAUACCUAUAAAUUAUUAUUAUUAGUAAAAACACCAUUAACCCUUAGCAGGACGACAAGACCCUAAUGAACUUAACUUUUAAGUUAAGCUGGGACGGCACAAAACUAAAUCUUCCCUCCCACCAACAAUAUAAGCUCCCCCAUGAACUAAGACAAGUUACCAUAGGGAUAACAGCAUAAUAAUUUAUAACAGCCCCCAUCAAAUAAAUUGCUUAUGACCUCGAUGUUGAAUUAAUUAUCUAACUGCAGAAAAAAGCAAUAAAAGAAAGUCUGUUCGACUUAUUAUACAUUACAU
rnacentral:rRNA from 1 species